rfam:Pteropus alecto contig19861, whole genome shotgun sequence.
GGUUCCAUAGUGUAACGGUUAGCAUGUCUGCUUUACAUGCAGAAGAUUCUAGGUUCCCGCCCCAGUGGAGCCA